rnacentral:rRNA from 1 species
CCAUUACCGAGUGCGGGCCCUCGUGGCCCAACCUCCCACCCUUGUCUCUAUACACCUGUUGCUUUGGCGGGCCCACCGGGGCCACCUGGUCGCCGGGGGACAUCUGUCCCCGGGCCCGCGCCCGCCGAAGCGCUCUGUGAACCCUGAUGAAGAUGGGCUGUCUGAGUACUAUGAAAAUUGUCAAAACUUUCAACAAUGGAUCUCUUGGUUCCGGCAUCGAUGAAGAACGCAGCGAAAUGCGAUAAGUAAUGUGAAUUGCAGAAUUCCGUGAAUCAUCGAAUCUUUGAACGCACAUUGCGCCCCCUGGCAUUCCGGGGGGCAUGCCUGUCCGAGCGUCAUUUCUGCCCUCAAGCACGGCUUGUGUGUUGGGUGCGGUCCCCCCGGGGACCUGCCCGAAAGGCAGCGGCGACGUCCGUCUGGUCCUCGAGCGUAUGGGGCUUUGUCACUCGCUCGGGAAGGACUGGCGGGGGUUGGUCACCACCAAAAUUUUACCACGGUUGACCUCGGAUCAGGUAGGAGUUACCCGCUGAACUUAAGCAUAUCAAUAAGCGGAGGAAAAGAAACCAACCGGGAUUGCCUCAGUAACGGCGAGUGAA